rnacentral:rRNA from 1 species
GAUGAACGCUGGCGGCGUGCUUAACACAUGCAAGUCGAACGGUAACAGGUUAAGCUGACGAGUGGCGAACGGGUGAGUAAUGCAUCGGAACGUGCCCGGUCGUGGGGGAUAACGCAGCGAAAGCUGCGCUAAUACCGCAUACGAUCUAAGGAUGAAAGCGGGGGACCGUAAGGCCUCGCGCGAUCGGAGCGGCCGAUGUCAGAUUAGGGAGUUGGUGGGGUAAAGGCUCACCAAGCCAACGAUCUGUAGCUGGUAUGAGAGGACGACCAGCCUAACUGGGACUGAGACACGGCCCAGACUCCUACGGGAGGCAGCAGUGGGGAAUUUUGGACAAUGGGCGAAAGCCUGAUCCAGCAAUGCCGCGUGCAGGAAGAAGGCCUUCGGGUUGUAAACUGCUUUUGUACGGAGCGAAAAGGUCUCCUCUAAUACAGGGGGCUCAUGACGGUACCGUAAGAAUAAGCACCGGCUAACUACGUGCCAGCAGCCGCCGCAG